UCCUACAGCCAUACCACCCUCAGCGCUCCCAAACUCAUCUGUUCUCAGAAGCUAAGCAGAGUCAGCCUGGUCAGUACUUGGAUGGGAGACCAAAUGAUCAAAUUUGAUGACCCUGUAAUGC
rfam:Fukomys damarensis contig145452, whole genome shotgun sequence.